GACGAACGCUGGCGGCGUGCUUAACACAUGCAAGUCGAACGGAAAGGCCCUGCUUUUGUGGGGUGCUCGAGUGGCGAACGGGUGAGUAACACGUGAGUAACCUGCCCUUGACUUUGGGAUAACUUCAGGAAACUGGGGCUAAUACCGGAUAGGAGCUCCUGCUGCAUGGUGGGGGUUGGAAAGUUUCGGCGGUUGGGGAUGGACUCGCGGCUUAUCAGCUUGUUGGUGGGGUAGUGGCUUACCAAGGCUUUGACGGGUAGCCGGCCUGGGAGGGUGACCGGCCACAUUGGGACUGAGAUACGGCCCGGACUCCUACGGGAGGCAGCAGUGGGGAAUAUUGCACAAUGGGCGGAAGCCUGUUGCAGCAACGCCGCGUGCGGGAUGACGGCCUUCGGGUUGUAAACCGCUUUCGCCUGUGACGAAGCGUGAGUGACGGUAAUGGGUAAAGAAGCACCGGCUAACUACGUG
rnacentral:rRNA from 1 species